UUGGUACUCCCUCCGUCUGGAAAUACUUUUCAUCAAAAUGAAUAAAAAGGGAUGUAUCUAGAUGUAUUUUAGUUCUAUAUACAUCUCUUUUUGUCCAUUUUGAUGAUAAGUAUUUUCGGACGGAGGGAGUACAUA
rfam:Triticum aestivum genome assembly, contig: Triticum_aestivum_CS42_TGACv1_scaffold_593029_7BS